AAAUCAGCCAAUAAUGGAUGCAGAACAAGUGCUGAUCGCACACUUGCAGAGGUGCUUAUGACGGUGAUAACAUUACAUUAAAAUCGAAAUCAUUAAUUUAAAUUGUGGCAUGCGCGUAACCAUACCGUUGAAGGUGGAAUAUUGUCGCGAGACUUUAUGAUCUAUGGUUAUUUCAACCGAACUUAAUGGUUGCAACUUAAAAAUAUG